rnacentral:rRNA from 1 species
UUGGAGGGCAAGUCUGGUGCCAGCAACCGCGGUAAUUCCAGCUCCAAUAGCGUAUAUUAAAGUUGUUGCAGUUAAAAAGCUCGUAGUUGAAUUUCGGGAUUAAUUUAUUGGUCGUGCUAUUGUACGUACUGGUAUUAUUGAUUCCUACCUUCUGACGAACCAUGAUGUCAUUAAUUUGGUGUCUUGGGGAAUCAGGACUGUUACUUUGAAAAAAUUAGAGUGUCUAAAGCAGGCUCACGCUUGAAUACAUUAGCAUGGAAUAACGAAAUAGGACGUUUGAUUCUAUUUUGUUGGUUUCUAGGAUCGACGUAAUGAUUAAUAGGGAUAGUUGGGGGCAUUAGCACUCAAUUGUCAGAGGUGAAAUUCUUGGAUUUAUUGAAGACUAACUACUGCGAAAGCAUUUGCCAAGGAUGUUUUCAUUAAUCAAGAACGAAAGUUAGGGGAUCGAGGACGAUCAGAUACCGUCGUAGUCUUAACCAUAAACUAUGCCGACUAGGGAUCGGAUGAUGUUAAUUUUUUAAUGACUCAUUCGGCGCCUUACGGGAAAC